rnacentral:rRNA from 1 species
AUUGAACGCUGGCGGCAUGCCUUACACAUGCAAGUCGAACGGCAGCACGGGUGCUUGCACCUGGUGGCGAGUGGCGAACGGGUGAGUAAUACAUCGGAACGUACCUUAUCGUGGGGGAUAACGCAGCGAAAGCUGUGCUAAUACCGCAUACGCCCUGAGGGGGAAACCGGGGGAUCGCAAGACCCCGCGCGAUAACAGCGGCCGAUGCCUGAUUAGCUAGGUGGUGGGGUAAAAGCCCACCAAGGUGACGAUCAGUAGCUGGUCUGAGAGGACGAUCAGCCACACUGGGACUGAGACGCGGCCCAGACUCCUACGGGAGGCAGCAGUGGGGAAUUUUGGACAAUGGGGGCAACCCUGAUCCAGCAAUGCCGCGUGAGUGAAGAAGGCCUUCGGGUUGUAAAGCUCUUUUGUCAGGGAAGAAACACCGGCUCUAACACAGUCCGGGAAUGACGGUACCUGAAGAAUAAGCACCGGCUAACUACGUGCCAGCAGCCGCCGUAA